rnacentral:rRNA from 1 species
GUAGGGAAUAUUGCGCAAUGGACGAAAGUCUGACGCAGCGACGCCGCGUGAGUGAUGAAGGCCUUAGGGUCGUAAAGCUCUGUUGAAUGGGAAGAAAAAAAUGACGGUACCAUUCGAGGAAGGACCGGCUAACUUCGUGCCAGCAGCCGCGGUAAUACGAGGGGUCCUAGCGUUGUUCGGAAUCAUUGGGCGUAAAGGGUGUGUAGGUGGCCAUGUAAGUCAGGUGUGAAAGCCCCGGGCUCAACCCGGGAAGUGCACUUGAUACUGCGUGGCUUGAGUACCGAAGAGGGUAGUGGAAUUCCAGGUGUAGUGGUGAAAUACGUAGAUAUCUGGAGGAACACCGGUGGCGAAGGCGGCUACCUGGUCGAGCACUGACACUGAGACACGAAAGCAUGGGGAUCAAACAGGAUUAGAAACCCGAGUAGUCC